CUGCGGAAGGAUCAUUAAAGAAUCGCCCCGUUUUGAAAUGGGUUCUAUUCCCAAACCGUGUAUACAUACCUUUGUUGCUUUGGCAGGCCGCCUUUUAGGCGUCGGCUCCGGCUGACUGCGCCUGCCAGAGGACCCAAACUCUUUUGUUUAGUGAUGUCUGAGUACUAUAUAAUAGUUAAAACUUUCAACAACGGAUCUCUUGGUUCUGGCAUCGAUGAAGAACGCAGCGAAAUGCGAUAAGUAAUGUGAAUUGCAGAAUUCAGUGAAUCAUCGAAUCUUUGAACGCACAUUGCGCCCCUUGGUAUUCCGAGGGGCAUGCCUGUUCGAGCGUCAUUAUAACCACUCAAGCCUCGGCUUGGUCUUGGGGUUCGCGGUUUCGCGGCCCUUAAAAUCAGUGGCGGUGCCGUCUGGCUCUAAGCGUAGUAAUUCUCUCGCUAUAGGGUCCAGGUGAGCACCUGCCAUAACCCCCCCAUUCUUUACGGUUGACCUCGGAUCAGGUAGGGAUACCCGCUGACCUAACAUUU
rnacentral:rRNA from 1 species